rnacentral:rRNA from 1 species
GACAGAGGGUGCAAACGUUGCUCGGAAUCACUGGGCGUAAAGGGCGUGUAGGCGGGAAGGCAAGUCAGAUGUGAAAUCCCUGGGCUCAACCCAGGAACUGCAUUUGAAACUCCCUUUCUUGAGUACCGGAGAGGAAGGUGGAAUACCUGGUGUAGAGGUGAAAUUCGUAGAUAUCAGGUGGAACACCAGUGGCGAAGGCGGCCUUCUGGACGGUAACUGACGCUGAGACGCGAAAGCGUGGGGAGCAAACAGG